rnacentral:lncRNA from 1 species
AUUAGUUGAACAAGUAGAAAAAUAUUAGUUUGAUUUUUUUUUUAAAAUAGUAAUAAUAAUAAAGCCUUGGAAUGUUGACUUCCCACAACAAUUGACCUAUAUUUUUAUUAUUGUCCUAUUGUUAUAAGUUUAAGUCAUUAAACCCCAAACAUUAUUUCUUGUAGCUUAAAUUUGCUUUCAAAGUAAGAAAGUCUACUUUAUAUUAAUGUCACCUUUUU